GCGGACGUGGUGGAACGGUAGACACGCCAUCUUGAGGGGGUGGUGCCACUAGGUGUGAGGGUUCAAAUCCCUCCGUCCGCACCA
rnacentral:tRNA from 1 species